UACGUAGGUGGCAAGCGUUGUUCGGAAUUAUUGGGCGUAAAGCGCGCGCAGGCGGUUUCUUAAGUCUGAUGUGAAAGCCCCCGGCUCAACCGGGGAGGGUCAUUGGAAACUGGGGGACUUGAGUGCAGAAGAGGAGAGCGGAAUUCCACGUGUAGCGGUGAAAUGCGUAGAGAUGUGGAGGAACACCAGUGGCGAAGGCGGCUCUCUGGUCUGUAACUGACGCUGAGGCGCGAAAGCGUGGGGAGCAAACAGG
rnacentral:rRNA from 1 species